AAAAAAAAAAAAAAAAAAGCUUGAGGAAGCCAUGGCACCCUAAUUUCAAAAAAUUUUGCUCUGGUAUAGUUUAAAUAUUCUUGGAAUGGCUCCCUUCCUUUCAAUCAAAAGUUCUAUCACUUCAAUCAUUUAAUCAUAGAUUAAUUAGCCUAUAGACUUUUUAACAUUUAAUUUAAUUAAAUUAUGAUAUUUUUUUUUACAUAUAAACAUG
rnacentral:misc_RNA from 1 species